rnacentral:rRNA from 1 species
AACGAACGCUGGCGGCAUGCCUAACACAUGCAAGUCGAACGAGAACUUCGGGUCUAGUGGCGCACGGGUGCGUAACGCGUGGGAACCUGCCCUUAGGUUCGGAAUAACUCCCCGAAAGGGGUGCUAAUACCGGAUAAUGUCUUCGGACCAAAGAUUUAUCGCCUUUGGAUGGGCCCGCGUUGGAUUAGCUAGUUGGUAGGGUAAAAGCCUACCAAGGCGACGAUCCAUAGCUGGUCUGAGAGGAUGCUCAGCCACGCUGGGACUGAGACCCGGCCCAGACUCCUACGGGAGGCAGCAGUGGGGAAUAUUGGACAAUGGGCGAAAGCCUGAUCCAGCAAUGCCGCGUGAGUGAUGAAGGCCUUAGGGUUGUAAAGCUCUUUUACCCGGGAUGAUAAUGACAGUACCGGGAGAAUAAGCACCGGCUAACUCCGUG